AUUGAACGCUGGCGGCAUGCUUUACACAUGCAAGUCGAACGGUAACAGGCCGCAAGGUGCUGACGAGUGGCGAACGGAUGAGUAAUGCAUCGGAACGUGCCCAGUCGUGGGGGAUAACUACUCGAAAGAGUAGCUAAUACCGCAUACGAUCUAUGGAUGAAAGCGGGGGACCGUAAGGCCUCGCGCGAUUGGAGCGGCCGAUGUCAGAUUAGGUAGUUGGUGGGGUAAAGGCUCACCAAGCCAACGAUCUGUAGCUGGUCUGAGAGGACGACCAGCCACACUGGGACUGAGACACGGCCCAGACUCCUACGGGAGGCAGCAGUGGGGAAUUUUGGACAAUGGGCGCAAGCCUGAUCCAGCAAUGCCGCGUGCAGGAAGAAGGCCUUCGGGUUGUAAACUGCUUUUGUACGGAACGAAACGGCUCUGGUUAAUACCCGGGGCUAAUGACGGUACCGUAAGAAUAAGCACCGGCUAACUACGUG
rnacentral:rRNA from 1 species